GAUGAACGCUGGCGGCGUGCCUAAUACAUGCAAGUCGAGCGAACAGACGAGGAGCUUGCUCCUCUGACGUUAGCGGCUGACGGGUGAGUAACACGUGGAUAACCUACCUAUAAGACUGGGAUAACUUCGGGAAACCGGAUCUAAUACCGGAUAAUAUAUUGAACCGCAUGGUUCAAUAGUUAAAGACGGUUUUGCUGUCACUUAUAGCUGGAUCCGCGCCGCAUUAGCUAGUUGGUAAGGUAACGGCUUACCAAGGCAACGAUGCGUAGCCGACCUGAGAGGGUGAUCGGCCACACUGGAACUGAGACACGGUCCAGACUCCUACGGGAGGCAGCAGUAGGGAAUCUUCCGCAAUGGGCGAAAGCCUGACGGAGCAACGCCGCGUGAGUGAUGAAGGUCUUCGGAUCGUAAAACUCUGUUAUUAGGGAAGAACAAAUGUGUAAGUAACUAUGCACGUCUUGACGGUACCUAAUCAGAAAGCCACGGCUAACUACGUG
rnacentral:rRNA from 1 species